UAACACCAUCUGCUGAAUGCCAGAACCCUAUGUAGGACACCCUGUUUACUUUAGAUUCCAUCCUCAGGCAACAAUCCAAAUGACCUAGAUUUUUCAAUAUUGAACAAUUCUGUCAUUUUAUUCAGCAAGAGCCCUCUUGAGCCAAAUCUGUCUAGUGAACAAAUGCACAGUAUGGAUUCAGAUGAGGUCACUGCUUUCUUUGAAACUUCAAGUGCAUUUAGAACUUAACCCCUGAAUUGAGCUUCCUCCAUAUAAUUAACUCUUUCUUCUCCCCCUUCUUUUAUUCAGGUUCACUGGCCCGGCAAGAUAGGAAGCAGGUCUUUAAGACCCAGUGUGCUUAACCGUACAGAGCUCUGUGCAACUUUGACUCUGUUUCUCCAGUCUGAAAAAGGGGAUAUAAACACUCACCCUCCCUUGCUCAUAGGAUGGGUUUGAAGACCAAAUGGGAUGAUGGAAGUGAAAGUAUCUUGUCAACUAUAAAUGGUUAUGCGAUCUAGUUCAACAGGUGGGACUGAGUGUGGGACUUCAGCUUACAUUAACACCACCAGACUACAACUUGGACAAGAAGGUGAAGAAUAUGUUCACUCACACUGGUUGGAUACCUGUAUAUCCCCAGGUACUAUGUGUAUGCUGUUUUGGGUAAGUAUUGGUACAGCUUCUCAAGGUGGACAUCAUCCAGGCUUGCCCUAACUCACACCUGACUGACUUGAAACCUCUACUUACUAUGCUUUUCCUUCCAGACUAAACUCCAUGUCCUGCCCAUGCCUGCUUCUGUUUAUGCCCCUGCUGACCCUGCAGGGCCUUCUGAAUCUUAUUGCAACAGAAGUAAGAGAUAAGAAGAAGGAAUGAAGUCCUUCCCCCAAGUCACAUACUCAAGGCUCUCUUCCAUCUCCCUCCCAGUCUGGUCCAAGGCCACUUUCCAGGCAUGUGGUUUUCCAGUCCAUCUUGUCUGAAAUGGAGAUGCAUGUGGUGAGAAGAGGGGUGUUUCCAGCUCUGAGUUUAAUUUGAUAGCCCACAGAGUUCAUUCACCCUGGC
rnacentral:lncRNA from 1 species